UAAUGUACGAAAGCGUGGGUAGCGAACAGGAUUAGAUACCCUGGUAGUCCACGCCCUAAACGAUGUCAACUAGUUGUUGGUGGAGUAAAAUCCAUGAGUAACGUAGCUAACGCGUGAAGUUGACCGCCUGGGGAGUACGGUCGCAAGAUUAAAACUCAAAGGAAUUGACGGGGGCCUGCACAAGCGGUGGAGCAUGUGGUUUAAUUCGACGCAACGCGAAGAACCUUACCUGGCCUUGACAUGCAGAGAACUUUCCAGAGAUGGAUUGGUGCCUUCGGGAACUCUGACACAGGUGCUGCAUGGCCGUCGUCAGCUCGUGUCGUGAGAUGUUGGGUUAAGU
rnacentral:rRNA from 12 species